GUAAGAUACUGGACUAGAUCACCUUGAAGGUUCCAACUUGCUUUAAGACUCUGUGAUUGCAAGUACAUGAAAACCCUUUCCAGGACAGAAGAUUAGCCCUGAGCUAACAUCUGCUGCCAAUCCUCCUCUUUUUGCUGAGGUUUGCCAAGUGGUGCCAUGUCCACACCUGGGAUCCGAACUGGCAGCCCCUGGGCCGCCGAAGAGGAACGUGCGCACUUAACCACUGCGCCACCGGGCCAGCCCCCUAAGCGUUUACUUCUUACGCUAACUUUUAAUUAUUUUUCUUUUCCCUCAUUGCCAAGAAUCCACUAUCCUCCAUGGAGACAGACACCAUCAAGGACAAGCACCUGGACCAUCUCCUCCCCACAAAGGGAUAUGGGCUGGUGGGAAAGCUGCUGACCAGCAAGGUCACGGGCUCCCUCCUCUCUGCAAGUAGUCUCAAGGCCAAAGACAAGCUGGUGGGAAAGCUCUGACCAGAAAGGCCAUAUGCUCCCGCCUCCCCUACCUAAAACCCCAAAUAAAAACCCUUCCUUUUAGCUUUUCGGGGAGUUUGGGAUUUCAGCGUUAGCUGCCCUCUCUCCUUGCUCAGCGCUGUGCAAAAAAAUAAAAUUCCUACUUUCUU
rnacentral:lncRNA from 1 species